rnacentral:rRNA from 1 species
UGACAGUACUACUACGGGGAGGCAGCAGUGGGGAAUAUUGCACAAUGGGGGAAACCCUGAUGCAGCCAUGCCGCGUGUGUGAAGAAGGCCUUCGGGUUGUAAAGCACUUUCAGUAGGGAGGAAGGUAGUGUAGUUAACACCUGCAUUAUUUGACGUUACCUACAGAAGAAGCACCGGCUAACUCCGUGCCAGCAGCCGCGGUAAUACGGAGGGUGCGAGCGUUAAUCGGAAUUACUGGGCGUAAAGCGCAUGCAGGCGGCUUGUUAAGUCAGAUGUGAAAGCCCGGGGCUUAACCUCGGAAUUGCAUUUGAAACUGGCAGGCUAGAGUCUUGUAGAGGGGGGUAGGAAUUUCAGGUGUAGCGGUGAAAUGCGUAGAGAUCUGAAGGAAUACCAGUGGCGAAGGCGGCCCCCUGGACAAAGACUGACGCUCAGAUGCGAAAGCGUGGGGAGCAAACAGGAUUAGAUACCCUGGUAG